UCCAUGUGUAUGUGAUGUCUGCAAUUUUA
rnacentral:piRNA from 1 species